CGCUAAUCGGGAGAUAGCGAAAGGCAGCGCGUGGAAGACGCGUGGGCGUGAUUCACAGCAGCCACCGCAGGCAGAGCUCCGCUCAUGCAACGCUUUGUUUUCACAAAUGGUAUCAGGGGCG
rnacentral:lncRNA from 1 species